UACAGAGGGUGCGAGCGUUAAUCGGAAUUACUGGGCGUAAAGGGCGCGUAGGCGGGAUGGCAAGUCGGUCGUGAAAUCCCUCGGCUCAACUGAGGAUCGUCGAUCGAUACUGCCGUUCUUGAGGAUUGCAGAGGAGACUGGAAUUCCCGGUGUAGCGGUGAAAUGUGUAGAGAUCGGGAGGAACACCGGUGGCGAAGGCGGGUCUCUGGGCAAUUCCUGACGCUGAGGCGCGAAAGCGUGGGGAGCAAACAGG
rnacentral:rRNA from 1 species